rnacentral:rRNA from 1 species
UACGUAGGGGGCUAGCGUUGUCCGGAUUUAUUGGGCGUAAAGAGCGUGUAGGCGGCCAUGUAGGUCCGGUGUGAAAACUCGAGGCUUAACCUCGAGAUGUCAUCGGAAACUAUCUGGCUAGAGUCCGGAAGAGGAGAGUGGAAUUCCUGGUGUAGCGGUGAAAUGCGCAGAUAUCAGGAAGAACACCCGUGGCGAAAGCGGCUCUCUGGAACGGUACUGACGCUGAGACGCGAAAGCGUGGGGAGCGAACAGG